rnacentral:lncRNA from 1 species
AGAAUGCUCCUAAUGAUUUUUCUCGAAAACCCAAUACUUUUCGAGAAAUCUUUAUUCGUAGGAGUCAAUAAUUACUGUUCCAUUUUUUCCAAAUAUUUCCGCUAUUAUUGGCCCAAUAAAGAACUGUUACUAAACAAACUUGUAGAAUAGAUCUUGGCCUACAAGAAUGCUCUUAAGCAUUUUUCUCGAAAAUGCGAUAUUUCUCGAGAAAUCUUUAAAAGAAGGUCUCGGCGUUUGGCAACGAACAUGAUUUUUCUAAAAUAUUUCAGUUCCUGAGGCUCCAAUCAAAAAAAUCAUAGAGAGCAAACUUGUAGAUCAGACCUUGAUCUACAAGAAUGCUCCUAAGGAUUUUUCUCGAAAACCCAAUACUUUUCGAGAAAUCUUUAAUCGUAGGAGUGAAUAAUUACUGUUCCAAUUUUUUCCAAAUAUUUCCGCUAAUAUUGGCCCAAUAAAAAAAUUUUACUAAACAAACUUGUAGAAUAGAUCUCGGCCUACAAGAAUGCUCCCAAGCAUUUUUCUCGAAAACUCGAUAUUUCUCGAGAAAUCUUUAAAAGAAAGUGUCGGCGUUUGGCAACGAACACGAUUUUUCGAAAAUAUUUCAGCUCCUAAAGCUUCAAUCAAAAAAAUCAUAGAAAGCAAACUUGUAGAUCAGCUCUUGAUCUAAAAGAAUGCUCCUAAGGAUUUUUCUCAAAAACCCAAUACUUUUCGAGAAAUCUUUAAUCGUAGGAGUCAAUAAUCGCUGUUCCAAUUUUUUCCAAAUAUUUCCGCUAUUAUUGGCCCAAUAAAAAAAUUUUACUAAACAAACUUGUAGAAUAGAUCUCGGCCUACAAGAAUGCUCCCAAGCAUUUUUCUCGAAAACUCGAUAUUUCUCGAGAAAUCUUUAAAAGAAAGUCUCGGCGUUUGGCAACGAACACGAUUUUUCGAAAAUAUUUCAGUUCCUGAGGCCUCAAUCAAAAAAAUCAUAGAGAGCAAACAUGUAGAUCAGACCUUGAUCUACAAGAAUGCUCCUAAGGAUUUUUCUCGAAAACCCAAUAUUUUUCGAGAAAUCUUGAAUCGUAGAAGUUAAUAAUCACUGUUUCAAUUUUUUCCAAAUAUUUCCGCUAUUAUUGGCCCAAUAAAAAAAUUUUACUUAACAAACUUGUAGAAUAGAUCUCGGCCUACAAGAUUGCUCCCAAGCAUUUUUUUCGAAAACUCGAUAUUCCUCGAGAAAUCUUUAAAACAAGGUCUCGGCGUUUGGCAACAAACAUGAUUUUUCGAAAAUAUUUCAGUUCCUGAGGCUCGAAUCGAAAAAAUCAUAGAGAGCAAACUUGUAGAUCAGACUCUGAUCUACAAGAAUGCUUCUAAGCAUUUUUCUCGAAAACCCAAUACUUUUCCAGAAAUCUUGAAUCGUAGAAGUUAAUAAUCACUGUUUCAAUUUUUUCCAAAUAUUUCCGCUAUUAUUGGCCCAAUAAAAAAAUGUCACUAAACAAACUUGUAGAAUAGAUCUCGCCCUACAAGAUUGCUCCCAAGCAUUUUUCUCGAAAACUCGAUAUUUCUCGAGAAAUCUUUAAAAGAAGGUGUCGGCGUUUGGCAACGAACACGAUUUUUCUAAAAUAUUUCAGCUCCUAAGGCUCGAAUCGAAAAAAUCAUAGAGAGCAAACUUGUAGAUCAGCUCUUGAUCUACAAGAAUGCUCCUAUGCAUUUUUCUCGAAAACUCGAUAUUUCUCGAGAAAUCUUUAAAAUAAAGUCUCGGCGUUUGGCAACGAACACGAU